CUCCAGCUUGAUGGGGGGAUUAGUGGCGAACGGGUGAGUAACACGUGAGUAACCUGCCCUGGACUCUGGGAUAACCCCGAGAAAUCGGAGCUAAUACCGGAUAGGACCUUGAACCGCAUGGUUUGGGGUGGAAAGUUUUUCGGUCUGGGAUGGACUCGCGGCCUAUCAGCUUGUUGGUGAGGUAAUGGCUCACCAAGGCGUCGACGGGUAGCCGGCCUGAGAGGGUGACCGGCCACACUGGGACUGAGACACGGCCCAGACUCCUACGGGAGGCAGCAGUGGGGAAUAUUGCACAAUGGGCGCAAGCCUGAUGCAGCAACGCCGCGUGCGGGAUGACGGCCUUCGGGUUGUAAACCGCUUUUAGUAAGGAAGAAGGGAAGCUUGCUUCUUGACGGUACUUGCAG
rnacentral:rRNA from 1 species